rnacentral:rRNA from 1 species
AUUGAACGCUGGCGGCAGGCCUAACACAUGCAAGUCGAGCGACAGCGGGAAAGUAGCUUGCUACUUUUGCCGGCGAGCGGCGGACGGGUGAGUAAUGCCUGGGAAAUUGCCCAGUCGAGGGGGAUAACAGUUGGAAACGACUGCUAAUACCGCAUACGCCCUACGGGGGAAAGCAGGGGACCUUCGGGCCUUGCGCGAUUGGAUAUGCCCAGGUGGGAUUAGCUAGUUGGUGAGGUAAUGGCUCACCAAGGCGACGAUCCCUAGCUGGUCUGAGAGGAUGAUCAGCCACACUGGAACCGAGACACGGUCCAGACUCCUACGGGAGGCAGCAGUGGGGAAUAUUGCACAAUGGGGGAAACCCUGAUGCAGCCAUGCCGCGUGUGUGAAGAAGGCCUUCGGGUUGUAAAGCACUUUCAGCGAGGAGGAAAGGUUGGUGCCUAAUACGUAUCAACUGUGACGUUACUCGCAGAAGAAGCACCGGCUAACUCCGUGCCAGCCGCCGCAGUAAAAC